rnacentral:rRNA from 1 species
GACAGAGGGUGCAAACGUUGCUCGGAAUUACUGGGCGUAAAGCGCGUGUAGGCGGACCACCAAGUCGGACGUGAAAGCCCUGAGCUCAACUCAGGAACUGCAUCCGAAACUGGCGGUCUGGAGUAGUGGAGAGGAAAGCAGAAUUCCUGGUGUAGAGGUGAAAUUCGUAGAUAUCAGGAGGAACACCGGUGGCGAAGGCGGGUCUCUGGGCAGUAACUGACGCUGAGGAGCGAAAGCGUGGGGAGCGAACAGG